rnacentral:lncRNA from 1 species
GUGCUGCUAUAAGGUUGUCCUGAUAUAAGAUUUACCUCUGAUAUUAAAAAGAUUGUUCUAGUACAAGAUUGAUCGAUUUUGAAAAUUAUUUUUAAAAUUUUUAAAUCAAUCUUUUAGAUAUAAAAAUAGAUGUAUAUGAUAUAUCUUUAUUCAUAUUUAGAUCUGAAAUUAGAAUGAUUAAAGAAUGCAUUGAACUGCUAUAAGAUUGUCUU